rnacentral:rRNA from 1 species
UACGUAGGGUGCAAGCGUUAUCCGGAAUUAUUGGGCGUAAAGAGCUCGUAGGCGGUUUGUCGCGUCUGCUGUGAAAACUGGAGGCUCAACCUCCAGCCUGCAGUGGGUACGGGCAAACUAGAGUGCGGUAGGGGAGAUUGGAAUUCCUGGUGUAGCGGUGGAAUGCGCAGAUAUCAGGAAGAACACCCGUGGCGAAGGCGGCUCUCUGGAACGCAACUGACGCUGAGACGCGAAAGCGUGGGGAGCAAACAGG